rnacentral:rRNA from 1 species
UACGAAGGGGGCUAGCGUUGCUCGGAAUCACUGGGCGUAAAGGGCGCGUAGGCGGCCAUUCAAGUCGGGGGUGAAAGCCCAGGGCUCAACCCUGGAAUUGCCUUCGAUACUGUUUGGCUAGAGACCGGAAGAGGUUAGUGGAACUGCGAGUGUAGAGGUGAAAUUCGUAGAUAUUCGCAAGAACACCAGUGGCGAAGGCGACCAACUGGUCCGGUUCUGACGCUGAGGCGCGAAAGCGUGGGGAGCAAACAGG